UUUUUUUCAAAACAUGGUUUUUUGUUUAUAUAAAAGAAUCUGGCCUGCCCUAUGAUUUAUUUAAAUGGCUGCAGUAUUUUGACUGUACAAAGGUAGCAUAAUAAUUUGUCUUUUGAUUGAAGGCUGGUAUGAAUGGUUAGAUGAAAAAUUUACUUUCUUUAUUUUAUAUUAAAAAGUUAAUUUUUAAGUUAAAAAGCUUAAAUUUAUUUAUAGGACGAGAAGACCCUAUAGAACUUUACUAUAUAUAUUAUAUAUUUGUUUUAAUUUAUCUUUUAAAUAUAUUUUUAAUUAGUUUUGUUGGGGUGAUAAAAAAAAUAUUAUAACUUUUUUUAUUAAUUACAUUUAUUUAUGUUUAUUUGAUCCUUUUUUAUGGAAAAAAGACUAAGUUACCUUAGGGAUAACAGCGUUAUUCUUUCGGAGAGUUCAUAUCGAUGAAGGAGUUUGCGACCUCGAUGUUGGAUUAAAAUAAGUUUCAGGGGCAAAAUAUUGUUUACUAAGUCUGUUCGACUUUUAAAUUUUUACAUGAUCUAGUUUCCAACCGGG
rnacentral:rRNA from 1 species